rnacentral:rRNA from 1 species
CAGCCGCCGCGGUAAUACCGGCGGCCCGAGUGGCGGUCACUAUUAUUGGGGUUAAAGCGUCCGUAGCCGGGUUGGGAAGUCCUCCGGGAAAUCUGGCCGCUUAACGGUCAGAAUGCCGGAGGAUACUCCCAGCCUAGGGAGCGGGAGAGGCCGAGGGUAUUCCCGGAGUAGGGGUGAAAUCCUAUAAUCCCGGGAGGACCACCUGUGGCGAAGGCGCUCGGCUGGAACGCGUCCGACGGUGAGGGACGAAGGCCAGGGGAGCAAACCGGACUAGAUACCCGGGUAGUCCUGGCGGUAAACGAUGCGGACUUUGUGUCGGACAAGCUAUGAGCUUGUCCGGUGCCGGAGGGAAACCGUUAAGUCCGCCGCCUGGGGAGUACGGCCGCAAGGCUGAAACUUAAAGGAAUUGGCGGG